AUACCACAGGUUAAUACACGCUACUGAUCCCUGAUGGGAGAAUCAUCAAUUUUGGCAACAAAGAAGCCUGGUGGAUGUUUGUUUACAGUCUGAUGAUGGGACAUCAUGCUCUGCAUCUUCAAAGUUUGCCUCCUCAUUAUUAUUCAUACCCAGUAAUGUGAAGUAUGCUUAUAUCUACUAUAACUGAACCAACCUGGUGCUCUUCAUUUAUGGAGGCUGUUGAGUCUGAAUGUUGGAUGUUGUGUAUCUCGUGUUCUCUGGGCUUUGUUGUCCUCGGUCUUUUCGCAGGAUCAGAAAACAAAACCAGGAGGCGCGUAAAUGUUUCUUCUCCAUGAUGUUUCUUCAAAUGUUUCUUCUGGAUGAUGAUAAGACUGACACGGGAUGCCACCUUUGGUCUUGUGAUGAAGCAAAGCUCAGGAAGAAGUGUGAUUAAAUGGUACCCACAUGUGUGCUGCUGAGAAGGAUGUACAGGGGCACCUGCAGCCAAAUCCAAGCCUCAGAGCGGCAGUUUGUGCUCACAGAUGGUGACGGUGUGGAGAGAUGGUGGUGUUUCCUCAGAAGAACCAGCAGAGUCACAAAGGACACCAGUCCAUCUCACCACCUUGACUUGCUGACUGAUGUUCGUCUGCACUGCACAGAGGAAAUCAGCUGACCGAGGAGUGUUUCUGAGUGAGGGGGGAGGAGUCAUCAUCCAGAUGGGCAGCAUAUCAGUCUUGGACUGUCUAACCUGCAGCACUGAAUGACCACCACACAUGAGCAUGUUCCUGCAACAUUCAGCAUCUGAUCCUUCAUCUGUGUGCUUCUGCUUUUGUGUCACAUGUCAAACAGCUGGAGAGGAAACUACACCAGCGUACUGAGAUGUUUCACCAACACGUGCCAGAUGCUGUUCCUUCAUGGUGACAUCACCAGAGACAGCCCCGCCCACCUCAGGACCUCGCCAUUGAUCAUGAUGAUUAUAAUGAUGACAGCGAGCGGAACUAAGACUGUAAAAAUCCACGACCAGAAUGUUUCUUUCUAAUUAUGAACGAAUAGUGAGAGCCUCUUUCUGUGUUUUGUCUGUUUUGGUUGUGUGUUUUUUUACCUCAUUUGUUACUAACAAAGUUCACAAGCUCACACAGUUUACAUUCUGUAUGUUUCCAUCUUUACCAGACACACUCUAACUGCAUUUAAGAAAAUAAUCCUUAAAAAUCGUCGUUUUUCUCUUUUGUAAUUGAUGAUAAUUCAGUGAAUAUACUGCGCUGCUUCCUUUUAUUGCGUCACACAUUGCUUUAAGUUUUUCAGUGUCCAGUUAUUUUUUACUGCUGUUUGAAUUCUCUGUAUGUUUGACCCUGUAGACUGUUUGAUGGA